rnacentral:lncRNA from 1 species
UAUGUAAGUCUAUUUUUAAAGGUUCAUAAGAAUCCAUACCAGAGUUCUAACAGCGAGUAGGGGGUAUAGAUGAGAGAUUAGAGGUGCAAAUCAGGAUUGGGAGGGUGGUCAAAGGGAACUUUAGCUUUAUCCAUAACACAUUUUUUUAAAAAAAAAAAAAGGUAUUCAUGUUUCAUUUAAUUUAAAAUAUACUGUCAUGUUGUGUUUUAUAAAUCAACUCAAUUGAGGUACUAUUUACAUACAUUUAAUUGCACCCUUUUUAAGUGUGUAUUUUAUUGGGUUUUGACAGAUUCAUAGCUCUGUGCAACCACCAUCACAAUCAAGAUACAAAUAUUUUCAUUACCCCCAAAAUUCUCAUACCCCUUUUCCCAGUCAAUUCCUCUACCCCUAGCCCUAGGCAGCCACAGAUCUGCUUUUGGUUACCAUUGAUUAGAUUUGUCCUUUGUAGAAUUCGUGUAAAUGGAAUACUGCAGUAUGUACUCUGCCUUCUUCCACACUACAGAUUUUUGAGAUUGAUCCCUGUGCGUCAGUUGUCCUAUUUUUUUUUUUUGUUACUGAGUAGUAUGUUCUAUUGUAUGUCAGAUCAUUCAGGUGAGACUUUGGCGUGAAAUGUUAAGCAUCUGACAUCUAAAUAGCAAUAUUUUGAAUAUUGGAAACUCAGGUUAAAGAUUUUGUUUCCAAGUAGAAAUGAAAUCUUAUUGUUUCAAUAAGUAGCUGACAGUGACAGAAAGAUUGACUGGAUUUGGAUCAGAUUGGCUGUUAGGCUUCAGGUAUGGGAAACAGCUCUCAGAUUUAUAAAUUGGAAAUCACCAGGUUACUUGCCAAUAUAUAGUCAUAUUGCUGCCAUUCUACUUAAUUUCUAAAUAUAUAAAAUCCACUUUUAAAAAUUGUAAAAGCAAGGACUCGGGAGUGACUGAUGAAUCAUGAAAUUGCUGCUUUUAUAGAUCAAAACUACUUGAAUCAUCAGGAAUUGUUUCAUAUUGUGUGAAAAUUUAUAAUUUUGUUUUAAAUUAUGAUUUCAUUUUACUAACUGGAAGAAACAGAAGAGCAAAAUUGGCAUAUUUAGGUUUUUUGUAGAAGAAAGACGUGAAAAUUAGGAGUGGAUUGGAGAAAUUGGGGGAAAAUAGAACAGUACGGAGAAAGAAAGAGAUUGAAAACGUAACCGAAGUUCUUUAAAGCUCACAUUUUAUGGUAUCACUGCUGCAAACUAAUAAAAUGUGGCAUUGAAUGAAAA